GUAAUGAAGUCCGUGAGCUGUGCGUCAAGAAAAGCCGCUAUUGUUCAUACCAUACCCGUACCGUAAACCGACACAGGUGGAUGAGGAGAGAAUCCUAAGGCCGGCGGAAGAAGCAUUGUCAAGGAACUCGGCAAAAUGACCCCGUAACUUCGGGAGAAGGGGUGCCUGCGAGAGCAGGCCGCAGAGAAUAGGCUCAAGCAACUGUUUAGCAAAAACACAGGUCUAUGCGAAACCGAAAGGUGAGGUAUAUGGGCUGACGCCUGCCCGGUGCUGGAAGGUUAAGAGGAGAGGUUAGCGGUAACGCGAAGCUUUGAAUUUAAGCCCCAGUAAACGGCGGCCGUAACCAUAACGGUCCUAAGGUAGCGAAAUUCCUUGUCGGGUAAGUUCCGACCCGCACGAAAGGCGUAAUGAUUUGAGCGCUGUCUCGACAAUGCAUCCGGUGAAAUUGAAGUACCAGUGAAGAUGCUGGUUACCUGCGCCAGGACGGAAAGACCCCAUGGAGCUUUACUCCAGUUUGGUACUAGGACCCGGUACUGCAUGUACAGGAUAGGUGGGAGGCUAUGAAUCGGUAACGCCAGUUGCCGAGGAGCCGCUGUUGGGAUACCACCCUUGCAGUAUUGGGUUUCUAACCAGCCGCCGUGACCCGGCGGUGGGACAAUGCCAGACGGGGAGUUUGACUGGGGCGGUCGCCUCCGAAAGGGUAUCGGAGGCGCCCAAAGGUUCCCUCAGGAUGGACGGAAACCAUCCAAAGAGUGCAAAGGCAGAAGGGAGCUUGACUGCGACACCGACGGGUGGAGCAGGUACGAAAGUAGGGCUUAGUGAUCCGGUGGUAUUAAGUGGGAAUGCCAUCGCUCAACGGAUAAAAGCUACCCUGGGAUAACAGGCUUAUCACUCCCAAGAGUUCACAUCGACGGAGUGGUUUGGCACCUCGAUGUCGGCUCAUCGCAUCCUGGGGCUGUAGUAGGUCCCAAGGGUUGGGCUGUUCGCCCAUUAAAGCGGUACGCGAGCUGGGUUCAGAACGUCGUGAGACAGUUCGGUCCCUAUCCGGCGUGGGCGUAGGAUAUCUGAGAGGAGCUGUCCUUAGUACGAGAGGACCGGGAUGGACGGGCCGCUGGUGCACCGGUUAGACUGCCAAGUCUAUAGCCGGGUAGCCAAGCCCGGAAGGGAUAAACGCUGAAGGCAUCUAAGCGUGAAGCCCCCCUCAAGAUGAGAUAUCCCAUCCGAAAGGAGUAAACCCCCUUGAAGACGACGAGGUUGAUAGGGCAGAGGUGGAAGUGUGGUAACACAUGGAGCUGACUGCUACUAAUAGGGUGAGGGCUUGACCGA
rnacentral:rRNA from 1 species